rnacentral:snRNA from 1 species
AUUAUUUGGGAGCAUAUAUACUAAAAUCGGAAUGAUAUAGAGAAGAUUAGCAUGGUCCCUGCAUAAGGAUGACACGCAAAUUCCUGCAGAGUUCCAUAUUUUU